AUUUUUGUUGUGGCUCGUGAAAAUUUGAGGGAAUAGAUAAUAGAAAUUGUUCACACUCGGGACUUAACUUAAAAUAAAUCUAUAUUAUAAUAAAAAAAAUUGUUUUUUUUUUUUUUUUUUUAUAGGGAAAUAACAAUGAAAAGAAAAGUACAUACUUGAAAAAGAAAUGGAAGUUGAAAAAAAAUGGAAGUAGAAAGAACAAGUUUCCCCCCCAUACUUAAAUUAAACAUUGUCCCCAAUGUUUUAAGGAAAUGAAAUACAAUAGGGAAAGGGAAAAGAAACUACAACUAAGGCUGCC
rnacentral:lncRNA from 1 species